GCGGCGAGUGAAGCGGCAAGAGCUCAGAUUUGAAAUCGUGCUAAUUUUUUUGGCACGAGUUGUAGAGUGUAGGCGGGAGUCUUUGUGGAGCACGGUGUCCAAGUCCCUUGGAACAGGGCGCCUGAGAGGGUGAGAGCCCCGUGGGGUGCCGUGCGAAGCUCUGAGGCCCUGCUGACGAGUCGAGUUGUUUGGGAAUGCAGCUCCAAGUGGGUGGUAAAUUCCAUCUAAGGCUAAAUACUGGCGAGAGACCGAUAGCGAACAAGUACUGUGAAGGAAAGAUGAAAAGCACUUUGAAAAGAGAGUGAAACAGCACGUGAAAUUGUUGAAAGGGAAGGGUAUUGGGCCCGACAUGGGGAGUGCGCACCGCUGUCUCUUGUAGGCGGCGCUCUGGGCGCUCUCUGGGCCAGCAUCGGUUCUUGCUGCGGGAGAAUGGGUGCCGGAAAGUGGCUCUUCGGAGUGUUAUAGCCGGCGCCAGAUACCGCGUGCGGGGACCGAGGACUGCGGCUUCUGUCUCGGAUGCUGGCACAACGGCGCAAUACCGCCCGUCUUGAA
rnacentral:rRNA from 1 species